UUUCAUGCAUCUCCCUCUCUUCCUUUCUACUCCAUUCACUGUAGCAGAGAACACCACCACCACCUCUCCACCUGCAAACCAGCCAUGCUACAGCAUCCUCGACAAGAUAAGCAGCAUGAGAAUGAACUGAAGUGACCCAACCCCACAUGAACACAUCUGAUCCUGCCUGGGGAACUGACACGGCACAGAAGUGCAGGGGUGAUCAGGCUGACAUUGAGAAAGGAGUCUCAUCAUCAUUAUCAGGCUGUUUCUGUAGAUAAAGUGGCACAAGGUCUCUGAUGCAGAGCCCAAAUGUUUUUGGUGCAAAUCCAGAGAUGUAUUUACUUACUAGAACGUACAGAACACAGGGAAGCAGUGCCAACAGGACACAGCACAGAGGAAAGCAAAGAAAAGAAUACCCACGUAAUACAAUCUGUACAGCUGGACUGCCAGGACAGAAGUGACUUUGUCUGUAUGAAGUGCAAGUUGGUUUACAUAUUGGAAGAGAAGGUCAGAGGACUAGAGAACCAAGGAUCAACCCUGGGUUGCCUCAGAGAAAAUGAAGAUUUUCUGGAUAAAAGUCUCAGUGUUCUGGAAGCAAAAUGUGCCGAAGAAUCAGAGACUACAGAGCAGAGCAGGGAAGAAUAUUGACAGCAUGUGGCCUCCAGAGGAAGAAAGAGGAGAACCAAUGUACCCCUAAUGCAGAUAGAGGUGCACAACCAUUUUCAGGCUCUCUGCACUGGUAUUACUGUGGAGAAGGAUUUGGAAGAACCUUGUGAGGGAAGGAGUCAGGAGGAGACUCCGUCAGCUGGAAGGCAUGGGAUGAAUCGUCCUAGGGAUGGGGGUUCCACGACCACCACUCCCAAGAGGAGGAAACAGGUGGGCGUGGUCAGGGACUCCCCCCUAAGGGGGAUAGAGUCAUCCAUCUGUCAACCAGACUGGGAGACUCAAGAAGUGUGCUGCUUCCCUGGAGCUAGAAUCCAGCAUGUGACGGAGUGUUUGCUGAGACUGAUCAAGACCUCGGACCACUACCCCUUCCUACUUCUCCAUGUGGGCACCAAUGAUACUUCCAAGAACGAUCUUUAGCAGGUCAUUGCAUGCUACGUGACUCUGGGAAGAAGGAUAAAGGAGUUUAAGAUGCAGGUCGUGUUCUCAUCCAUCCUCCCUGUUGAAGGCUAAGGCCCAGGUAGGGACUGUCGAAUCGUGGAGGUGAACGCAUGGUUACGCAGGUGGUGUCGGAGAGAGGACUUUGGAUUCUUUGACCAUGGGAUGUUGUUCUGGGAAGAAAGACGGCUAGGAAGAGAUGGGAUCCACCUAACGAAGAGAGGGAAGAGCAUCUUCACAGGCAGGCUGGCUAAGCUAAUGAGGAGGGCUUUAAACUAGGUUCGCCGGGGGACGGUGAGCUAAACCCAGAGGUAAGUGGGGGAGUGGGAUACUGAGAGGACACACAAGGAGGAGGGUACAAGGUGGGAAGCCUCCUGAUUCAUACUGAGAAAGUAGGGCAACCGGCUAGUUAUCUUAGGUGCAUGUACAUGAAUGCAAGAAGGCUGAGAAACAAGCAGGAAGAAUUGGAAGUCCUGGCACAAUCAAGGAACUAUGAUGUGAUUGGAACAACAGAGACUUGGUGGGGCAGUUCACAUGACUGGAGCGCUGUCAUGGAUGGGUAUAAACUGUUCAGAAAGGACAGGUACGGGAGGAAAGGUGGAAGAGUUGCAUUGUAUGUAAGAAAGUGGUAGGAAUGCUCAGAGCUCCAGCAUGAAACUGGAGGAAAGCCUGUCGAGAGUCGUUGGGUUAAGUUUAGAGGCGAGAGCAACAAAGGUGACGUUGUGGUGGGCGUGUGCUACAGACCACCGGAUCAGAAGGAUGAUACAGAUGGAGCUUUUUUCGGACAACUAACUGAAGUUUCCAGAUCACAGGCCCUGGUUCUAAUGAGGGACUUGAAUCACCCUGACAUCUGCUGGGAGAGCAAUACACAUACAAUCCAGGAAGUUUUUGGAGAGUGUUGGAGACAACUUCCUGGUACAAGUGCUGGAGCAACCGACUAGGGGUCAUGCUCCUCUUGAUCUGCUGCUUACAAACAGGGAAGAAUUGAUUGGGGAAGUAGAAGUGGGUGGCAAUCUGGGCAGCAGUGACCAUGAGAUGGCCGAGUUCAGGAUCCUCACAAAAGGAAGAAAGGCGAGUAGCAAAACACAGAGCCUGGACUGCAGAAAAGCAGACUUUAACUCUCUUAGGGAACUGAUGAGCAGGAUCCCCUGGGAAGCUAAUAUGAGGGGGCAAGGAGUCCAGAAGAUCUGGCUGUAUUUUAAAGAAGCCUUACUGAGGAAGCAGGAACAAACUACCCCGAAGUGCAGAAAAAAUAGCAAAUAUGGCAGGCGACCAGCAUGGCUUAACAGUGAAAUCUUCAGUGAGCUUAAAUACAAAAAGGUAGCUUACAAGAAGUGGAAAUUUGGACAGAUGACUAGCGAGUAUAAAAAUAUUGCUCGAGCAUGCAGACGUGUAAUCAGGAAGGCAAAGGCACAAUUGGAGUUGCAGCUAGCAAGGGAUGUGAAGGAUAACAAGAAGGGUUUCUACAGAUAUGUUAGCAACAACAAGUGGUAUGGGAAAGUGUGGGACCCUUACUGAGGGGAGGGAGGCAACCUAGUGACACAUAAUGUGGAAAAAGCUGAAGUACUCAAUGCUUUUUUUGGCUUGGUCUUCACAGACAAGAGUAGCUCCCAGACUGCUGCAUUAGGCAACACAGUAAGGGGAGUAGGUGAGCAGCCCUCAGUGAUGAAAGAACAGGUUAAGGACUAUUUAGAUAAGCUGGACGUGCGUAAAUCCAUGGGUCCAGAUCUAAUGCAUCCAAGGGUGCUGAGGGAGUCGGCUGAUGUGAUUGCAGAGCCAUUGGCCACUAUCUUUGAAAAUUCGUGGCGAUCGGGGGAGAUCCUGGAUGAUUGGGAAAAGGCAAACAUAGGAAAGAGAAUCCAGAGAACUACAGACUAGUCAGCCUCACCUCAGUCCCCAACAAGAUCAUGGAUCAGGUCCUCAAGGAAUCGAUUUUGAAGCACUUGGAGGAGAGGAAGGUGAUCAGGAACAGGCAAUAUGGAUUCACCAAGGGCAAGUCAUGCCUGACCAACCUGACUGCCUUCUAUGAGGAGAUAUCUGGAUUUGUGGAUAUGGGGAAAGUGGUGGACAUGAUAUAUCUUGACUUCAGCAAAGCUUUUAAUAUGGCUUCCCACAGUAUUCUUGCCAGCAAAUUCAAAAAGUAUGGACUGGAUUAAUGGACUAUAAGGUGGACAGAAAGCUGGCUAGAUUGACGGGCUCAACCGGCAGUGAUCAAUGGCUCCAUGUCUAGUUGGCAGCCGGUAUCUAUUGGAGUGCCCCAGGGGUUGGUCCUGGGGCCAGUUUUGUUCAACAUCUUGAUCAAUAAUCUGGAUGAUGGGAUUGACUGCACCUUCAGCAAGUUUGCAGAUGACACUAAACUGGCGGGAAAGGUAGAUAGGCUGGAGGGUAGUGAUGGGGUCCAGAGUCACCUAGACAAAUUGGAGGAUUGGGCCAAAAGAAAUCUGAUUAGGUUCAACAAGCACAAGUGCAAAGGCUUGCACUUAGGAAAAAAGAAUCCCAUGCAUUGCUACAGGCUGGGGACCAACUGGCUAAGCAGAAGUUCUGCAGAAAAGGACGUGGGGAUUACAGUGGAUGAGAAACUGGAUAUGAGUCAGCAGUGUGCCCUCGUUGCCGAGAAGGCCAACAGCAUAUUGGGCUGUAUUAGUAGGAGCACUGCCAGCAGAUUGAGGGAAGCAAUUAUUUUCCUCUAUUUGACACUGGUGAAGUCACACCUGGAAUAUCGCAUCUAGUUUUGGUCCCCCCAUUAUAAAAGGGAUGUGGACAAAUUGGAGAGAGUCCAGCGGAGGGCAACAAAAAUGAUUAGGGGGCUGGGGCACAUGACUUAUGAGGAGAGGCUGAGGGAACUGGGGUUAUGUAGUCUGCAAAAGAGAAGAGUGAGGGGGGAUUUGACAGCAGCCUUCAACUAGCUGAAGGGAGGUUCCAAAGAGGAUGGAGCUAGGCUGUUCUCAAUGGUAGCAGAUGACAGAACAAGGAGCAAUGGUCUCAAGUUGCAUGGGGGAGGUCUAGGUUGGAUAUUGGGAAACACUAUUUCACUAGGAGGGUGGUGAAGCACUGGAAUGGGUUUCCUAGGGAGGUGGUGGAAUCUCCUUCUUUAGAGGUUUUUAAGGCCCAGCUUGACAAAGCCCUGGCUGGGAUGAUUUAGUUGGGGUUGGUCCUGCUUUGAGCAGGGGGUUGGACUAGAUACCUCCUGAGGUCCCUUCCAACCCUGAUAUUCUAUGAUUAAAUAUAUAAAAAGUGUUUUUAAUUUAUAAGGUGUGUGUGGGGGGGGUCACACUCAGAGGCUUGCUAUAUGAAAGGGGUCACUAGUACAGAAGUUUGAGAAUCACUACUCUGUAAGCCCCAUAUUCAUCAUUUGUAUAUAUUCUUUACAGUUCAUAUAAAGCAGGCCAUGUAAGGUAUCAUGGGAAAGGUUCUGAUUUGCUGAAACCCACCGUUCUGUCAAACUAUGUAUAUCAUUAAAGUGUAUGAAAUUAUGAGAUUGUGUGGUAUGGUAUUAAUGAAAUAUGCUGCAAAUUUGGGAGUAGCCCAGAAGGCAACUCCCCAGAAACAACAAGGCACUUGACCAAAUGGCUGAUUUACACAGCCAUCACCAGCCACUCUGCAGCAAGUGAAUCACAAUUAGCAAUUCAAUGACCAUCACCAGAGAAUUACUCAACCCCGGGACUCAGCAAUGCCCACUCCCCCCACCAUGAUGCGUGGACUUGUGUUUGCCAGAGCACAUGGACUAAACAGGAGCUCGUUCCAGCCCAGGUUGUACUGCAGGGGUCACACUAGCCCUUCCCUUGGGAGACUAGUCCAUCCACACCCCAAGGCAGAGAUUGUUCUGCUUGGAAGGUUUCCCCUGAUAGCUUGAGUGUCUCCCCCACCCCCACCCCAGCCCUAACCCUUCCCCAC